rnacentral:rRNA from 1 species
UGGGGAAUAUUGCACAAUGGAGGGAACUCUGAUGCAGCGACGCCGCGUGAACGAAGAAGGCUUUCGAGUCGUAAAGUUCUUUUAUAUGGGAAGAUAAUGACGGUACCAUAAGAAAAAGCCCCGGCUAACUACGUGCCAGCAGCCGCGGUAAUACGUAGGGGGCUAGCGUUGUCCGGAAUCACUGGGCGUAAAGGGUUCGCAGGCGGAAAUGCAAGUCAGGUGUAAAAGGCAGUAGCUUAACUACUGUAAGCAUUUGAAACUGCAUAUCUUGAGAAGAGUAGAGGUAAGUGGAAUUUUUAGUGUGGCGGUGAAAUGCGUAGAUAUUAAAAAGAAUACCGGUGGCAAAGGCGACUUACUGGGCUCAUUCUGACGCUGAGGAACGAAAGCGUGGGUAGCAAACAGG